AAGUCAUGGUGAGGACAAGCAUUAAUAGCUUCCAUGUACCUCUCCCAACACUCAUAAAAUUUCUCAUUCUCUUUAGCUGAGAAGUUCGAAAUUUUCUUUUUCAAACC
rnacentral:snoRNA from 1 species